GGAUUUCAAUUGGAUACCCAUAUAAAGCUUGUUUAGCUGGGACCAAGAAUGUCUCAAGGUUGUAGGCCUAACUGCUGUUGAAGGAAUGGAAUACGCGGUCUUCCUUCUUACUUCUUAGCAAGAUCAACUGCUAUUUCAGCUGUUGGAGGAAGGCUAUAAGGGAGAAAUGGUUUCAAUGGCCAGAGACCCCCGAAACUCGUCCUUUUAAUACCCACAGAUGCGCCUUCUCGAGCCCUUUUGAUUUGAGGCAGAUAAUGCCCUAGGCCUUC
rnacentral:misc_RNA from 1 species